rnacentral:ncRNA from 1 species
AAGAGCCGUAUGCGGGAAAUUCGCACGUACGGAUCUGUGAGGGUUUUACCACUAGACACUUAUAAGGUUUGGGGGGUAAUUCUACUCGAU